rnacentral:rRNA from 1 species
AUGCAUGGGAGUCUUGGGAGUAGCAUCCUCCUCGCCGCACGGGCCUCCUACUCGCUGCACGGGCCUCCUCCUUGCCAGAGUGACGCCCCUCGCCGGAGUAGCGCCAGCCAAGCCCAUCGGCCACCAGGUGCGUCCUUGGAUCAGUUUCCUACAGGCAGCAUGUUGUUCCUACUCCUCUACUUACUACAGCAGCACAAUGUUCUUCUGUAUUGCAAUAGAGUAGGAGUAUUUGCUAGAGUAUCUAGGACGUACAACUAUGGUUAA